rnacentral:lncRNA from 1 species
GCUAGAAAGAAACAAGUCUAUAAACAGUUACCAAUCAGCCAAAUACACCAAUUGCUAGGAAUAUUCCCUCCACCCUCAUCUCUUACCAACUCCCAUACCCCGUAAUCAGCAUCUAAAUGCCGCAUGCAUUAUUCUUUUGUUCCUAACUCUGAGGGAAGGGAAUGAAGAGUCAGACUGUGUUCAGAGACCCCAGAACCACAUCUUAGAUAACUUUACAGACACAAAUCUACCAUGAUAGUGUUGGGGAGGCAGCCACGCGGGAUGCUUCCAUUUAGGAUAAAAUGAGCAGAGACCAAGAAGCAGAAGGCUGCACAGACCAAGCCUUGCACUGGCUCUGCUGUGGAGGCUGGCCUCCUGUCCUCCUUCGGAACUAGACUCAAAGGGGCCUCAGACAGUGAGUUUUAAUUGGAGAAAAGGCUAGAGACUGUGAGGGGAGGAAAUAAGACAUACAUACAAAGCAAGCCUGUGUGGACUACCCAUUCUUAUAGAAUUCCUCACUACUGGGUGUCUUGAGAAAAAGACCUUUUCCUGGAGUCCCAAAGCCCCCUUGGUGUCUCAUGGGACACCUUGUGGUAUCAGUGGGUUAAUAGACUUGAGAAUCUCUGAGUCACUGGCCAUGUCAGGUGUUCAAAUCCUUCUUGCAUCAUGGGGAAUGGAUCAUGCUCUUAAGGCCCAUGCAGAGGCAGAAUCCAGCCAUGAUGACCCUGGAGACCCAUCUUGAGAUAUUCUUAGACAGGCUUCUUAAAAUCCCACAGACUGAUGGUGGGUUCUAACAUGCCUGUGAAUUAUAGGAAGAACAUCUUACAGAACCAUCAGUUAGCCUAUAGGCUGAGGUAG